rnacentral:rRNA from 1 species
UACGAAGGGGGCUAGCGUUGCUCGGAAUCACUGGGCGUAAAGGGCGCGUAGGCGGCUAUUCAAGUCAGGGGUGAAAGCCUGAGGCCUCAACCUCAGAAUUGCCUUUGGAUACUGUUUAGCUAGGAGACCGGAAGAGGUUAGUGGAACGUGCGAGUGUAGAGGUGAAAUUCGUAGAUAUUCGCAAGAACACCAGUGGCGAAGGCGGCUCACGUGGCCCGGCUACGUGAACGCUGAGGUGCGGAAAAGCGUGGGGAGCAAACAGGGAUUAAGAU